rnacentral:tRNA from 1 species
GGUGGCGUAGCCAAGUGUUAAGGCAAGGGGCCCGCAAGCUCCUGAUCCCUUGGUUAGACUCCAGGGCGCCACCU